rnacentral:rRNA from 1 species
AGCGAACGCUGGCGGCAGGCCUAACACAUGCAAGUCGAACGAACCCUUCGGGGUUAGUGGCGGACGGGUGAGUAACACGUGGGAACGUGCCUUUAGGUUCGGAAUAACUCAGGGAAACUUGUGCUAAUACCGAAUGUGCCCUUCGGGGGAAAGAUUUAUCGCCUUUAGAGCGGCCCGCGUCUGAUUAGCUAGUUGGUGAGGUAAUGGCUCAUCAAGGCUACGAUCAGUAGCUGGUCUGAGAGGAUGACCAGCCACAUUGGGACUGAGAAACGGCCAAAACUCCUGCGGGAGGCAGCAGUGGGGAGUCUUGCGCAAUGGGCGAAAGCCUGACGCAGCCAUGCCGCGUGGAUGAUGAAGGUCUUAGGAUUGUAAAAUCCUUUCACCGGUGAAGAUAAUGACUGUAGCCGGAGAAGAAGCCCCGGCUAACUUCGUGCCAGCCGCCGCAGUAACAC